UACAGAGGGUGCGAGCGUUAAUCGGAAUUACUGGGCGUAAAGCGCACGUAGGUGGCGACGUAAGUCGGGUGUGAAAGCCCCGGGCUCAACCUGGGAAUUGCAUUCGAGACUGCAUUGCUGGAGUACGGAAGAGGAACGCGGAAUUCCAGGUGUAGCGGUGAAAUGCGUAGAUAUCUGGAGGAACACCGGUGGCGAAGGCGGCGUUCUGGACUGCAACUGACACUGAGGAACGAAAGCCAGGGGAGCAAACGGG
rnacentral:rRNA from 1 species